CACCCCCACCCUUGUCUAGGAACUUGGCAGCAAAUGGUUGUGUCCUGCUGAAAACCGAUGCUAUCAAUCUAAGGGAGCUGUGUAUAAAAGAAACCGUUUGUCUUGGAACAGGUGCUCAGACCCGUAUGCGGCUACCCAGGUCUGGGACCUCCUGCAUGAGUAAUAAAGUGGUUCCUGACCUCACCCUUCCUGAAGCACCGCUUGUUUCUUCCUCUGCCUGGAGGAAGCCCAGGCUUGGCCAAACCGGCAAACCCAGCCCCGAAGGAAAGGGUGGACUCGCCGGUCCCAGAAAAGCCAAGACGGCGGGACCGGUCUCCUCGUCGAUAGACCACCGCCACAAAAUCCACAAACAGCAUGACAGCCCUGGAUGCCCCCACCCAGCCUUGGGCAAGAAAGAGACUUGACAAAUGCAAAGAUGUAACAAAUCACGGCAAAACCAACAAACUAAGGAAGAGUGGUUCUCAGACGGGGAGAGCAUCAAUUUGACAGCGAGACGAGAUGACCUUACAACCUUUGGGGAGAAGCAAGGUUAGACUCAUAAAUGCACAAGUGAAGAUAUAUCCUUUAUAUAUCUAUAUAUAUAUAUAUACAGAUAUAGAUAUAUCUGUAGACAG